ACUUCUCGUCUGCUGAGCACGCUGAGUGGAUGCUAGUUCUCUCUUUUCCUGUGUGUAUGUUAAUCUCUUGCUUGUGUGCGUGUUAGUUCUAGCUUGUGUGUGAAUGUGUUAGUUCCAUUAGGGCACCAUUGGUUAGGUUAGUGUAGUGUUUAAGACAAAUAGUGUAGUUAGCCAAUGGUGAAGGCCACCGUCUUGUUCUGUACCGUGUCGUUGGCCAGCAUUACGGUGCUUUUUACAAGUGGUUUUCAUCAACGAGUGAACUAACUAGAUUGCCCGUGACAAUGGUGGAGAUGCAGGGUACAGUUACACUCGUUGAUUGAGAACAAUUUACAUUUUGAUUUUGUGUGUGUGAAACAAACCUUGGACAAAUUUGUGUUGGAAGAUUGAGGCGUCCCAUAGUCAACGUUUAUGUUACGUUGCAUCGUUCGCCCGUUCAACAUCAACGCUUCGCUUCUUUUUGUGGUCACGUAUCGUUCCAAAUUGUUUGUGUGACACGAUUAUCUGUUUCUUUUUUAUUUUGUAGGUUUAUCAUCGUGGAAAUUUUUAUUGAUUGGAAUUUGGAAUCGACGUAGUAUCGACGUUGAGUACGUUGGCGUGGCGUGGGUGCUGAGUCAUCCAACGGAGAUGAGCCAUCCAACAUUUUUUCCAUUUACGUCUUGCCGACGUUGGUCUUGUGUGGCGAGCGGAGAAUUUUUGAUUCAUAACUUUUUUUGAUAUUUGUUUAUUAAUUCUCUUUUGCUUUUUAUUUAGAUUUGAGUUGAAGAUUAUUGGCUUUUGGGUUUUUGGAUAAUCCCGUUUUGAUUUGUUUGUGAUCCAGACCCAAGGGCUGGUAAGUUGUGUUCCCUAACCCUCAUAGACUUUUUCUUACAGGUACUUGAGGCUUGAUAGCCGUUUUGAUUGAGAGUGAGAGAGCAUUGGCUCCUGUUUGUUUGUGAGUCUUGGACUCUUUUCUUGUUGAUGGCCACUUGUUGAAUACCCACCACAAAACUUAUUAAUUGCGAGUAGCUCCCUCCCUAUUUUCGACUAUUAGUUGGGAUUGGAAUUGGUGGCGAAUAUUUGUCAAAUUUCCUUUGCUACAGUAAACGAUUAACAUGGCUGAUCGGGACCAAGCGGGUCACGGGGAAUUUGUGCUACCAGAUACAGAUGGCGUUUUUACGAAACGUGAAACGAAACGAAACGGCACCUGUAUGCGGCGGCUCUUUUAUGAACCAUAGCGGCAAAUAAUUUUUUUCUGUGAACUUUCUCAUUAAAUAACUAAAGAGCUAUUAAAUAUUUUUAAAAACGACUUUUACAGUUAGGAAAAUUUUUAUCUUAACUAAAAAUGUACAAAAGAUCAAAAUUUUAGGACAACUACAUGACUAGAUAUAAUGAGUUUACGGAGGGACUAUCCGACAUAAGGUCCCUUGUAAACUCCUUUUGGUGAUUUUAUAAAAAUUGAGGCAUAGUCCCUCAUAGUAUAUUUAAUUACUAAAAAAUCGUUAAAGCUAGAAGAUUCAAAAUUUGAACCCUGAUAAAUAAAAAGACGGGGAACAUUUAUUAGCUGUCAAAAAAAAUUUAUUUCUAUUUCUUAGCACAAUUAUAACACAUUUUCUAAUGUUUACAUUUUGUUUUAUAUUUUUGUUAUAGCAAAAAUAAUUAUUUUUGAUGAGGGUUUUUACAAGAAAUAUAAAAUCAUAGUAAAAACAAAGCUCAUGAAAAAAAUUCUGUGUUGCAAUUUGUUCACGGUCAAAAAUUAUCUUGACUCCACUAUAAAGAAACUUUCACGGAUGACUAUAAAAAAAGGGAGGAGGAUAUAACAUCUUGUCGGCAGAAGUUCACCUCCCUUUCAAGAGGGGGUUAAACCGUUAAAGCACUUAGAAAUGAAAAUCGACAACAAUUGCAGUAAUAUCAGAGCGAAAUAAAAAAGGGGGACAAAACAAAAAUGAAAAAGAGUUAAAAAAAGUCCCUUUCAUUUCUUCUUUUCAGGAGGUCAUUAUUUGUCAUUUGAUGAUAUUCAAGCGAGAGAGAAAAUGUUAGAAAAUGAGAUCCAAUAGAAACCGAAGAAGAGAAAAACACCUCCAAGACUAUAAGCAGCCCCAUAAAUCCAAUUUCCCUGAGAAGGGAAGGCUUACCGCCUUUUUGGCCGAGAAAUUUAGAGAAAAAAGGUUCAGACAGUCCUCCAAAUACUAUUAACCUUAAGAGGUCCCUGGGGAAUUGGGCGGGGGGCGACGAAAAUGGUUUUUCAUACUUUCACGCUCUCGUUAUCCACCGAUCACGACACGACCUAUCUCAUUCCAAGUAGAAUGACUUUUUACAUAUACUAUGAUUAAAUUUUACAACAAUUAACAAAAUAAACGGGAGAUUGGAAGCAAAAAGGGGUAGAAAGAGGGAAAACUUCAAAAAUAGAUUGCACAUACGAUUCCACAAGAUUAAAGGGUCCAAUCAGUUCUAAUGGAAAGAAGAACUUUCCAUUUAACCGAAAAGACUAAAUUUGCGUUGUGGUUUUUCUUAUUCUCGAGAUAUCUGCGAAAGAAAAACACACCCAGAUUGACUUUUAGUUUAUUGUUGACUAGUAGACGACAGCUCUCGCCCGUCUGCUUGUGGAACGUCAGGCUCAACUGUCAAUCUAGGUUAUUUAAUUUGUCAUAUAAUGUUGUGUAGCUAUAACAUGUAACGUCACCCAAUUUAAGAAAAGAUUUCGUCUCCCUAUCUAAGAAAAGAUUCUGUCUCCUAAGAGUAACAGAGCAAUUUAAUAACAGAUAGUCAUGGAAGUCUGUUGUUUAAUCCUCCGCUUCUUGAUUUUGGAGACUGGUAUUCAUAGCAAUUUAUCGUUUGCUCAUGCGAACCAUUAAUCCCAACAACAACAGAAUUAACGAAAAGCCCAUCAACAUCCUUUAAAUCUCUGGUUAAUCUCUUCAUUUCCACUGUUCAUUUGUGGAGGAUAACGUACUUGACAGUCAUCGAAAAAUAUUUAUUUUGAAGUAGUUUUCCUUAGAAGAGAGGGGGGAUAUGUGAAAGACACCUUGUACAUCCACACCACCAGGGGUUCAUUCCCCUAUCGAAUACAAGCCCGUAGUCUUCCCAAUCUUUUUUUUGCUAAGCCAUUCGUGAACGUACGCACUGCGGGCAAUACAACUUUUUCCCCACUAAUUCAUCUCGUUUGCAUCCGCACUACAGGUUCUAGAAAUGUUUGGCAGUAGCUGAGACAUCCAUCUGGAAAUACCGAUUGUGGGGAGAGCAAGAAAACGAAUCGCUCGACUGGUGGCUCAUCCCACCACAUUAAAAUAAGGCUAUUGCCAAAGUCAACUUUGUGGCCAUGAGAGUGCUUAACGUCCCUGCUUUCGUAAGGAUACGAACCAACUAUACAGCUCAUACUCACGGCUCACUGAUGUUGCCCAUCAGUCUGGAAGUGACUAGUCAGCCGUUACGUUUUUGCCCUCAGCAGUACCUACCUUGACUUUGGAGUAGUCGAUGUCAACGAUCCUCACAAAACGCUUAAAAGUUUUGUGAUAAAUUCUGGCAAUCGACCCAUCACCGUUUAGGUAUUUCGACCACCCAAUUCCCUGCGCCUUAAUCAUGUUUGAAUAAUAUAUUUUGAAAUCCGGCCAAAAAUAUCGACAUUCUCUCAAUGAUAUAAAAACAUUAGCUUGUGAAUCUUUUAUAACCUUUAAAUUAAUAAAACUUUAGCGAUUAAACCGUGACGGCGGUGCCACUAAGCGAAGGAUAUUGUCGAUCGAAUUUAGUCCAAUCAUGGUCCCGCCAUCUCUGACAACACCGACCUUGGUCGCCCUAGUUACAUUUAAUCACAUGCAUCUUAUGCCAGAAUGAUCGGUCAAAUGGCCCAAUGUAAAUUUGCUGCCACAAAAGCCUUGAGGUGCUGUAAAAUGAACACUGCAGAGGAUUAUCACUAUCAUGACCUUUACAACCAGAUUGCAGAAGUAAUCGUUUUAGCUCAAAAAGACAUUGAAGCAACAAAGAAGGAGUUACAAGAAGCAAGACAGAUUCGUAGGAAUAAAAUGGAAUCUGAUGCUUUGGCUGUCAUUAUUCAAACACAGCGUGAUCGAAAGAGCAACCAAGACAAAUUAUCACUAUUGCGACAGGAACUGGAAGCCUCAGAAUGUGAAUGUCAGAAAUGGGAGAAAAAAGAGCUAAAUUAGAACAAAGAUGCAAACAAUUUCACUUACUCAUUUCAACUGUCCAAGGUUCAAGGUUCUCAACGAUGAUGAAGCAUCCUAAUUGUUUAUUUUGUAUUAAUCCAUAUUCUCUAUUUUUGAAUAAUAAUGCUAACAAAUACAAAUCAUUUGAA